GACGAACGCUGGCGGCGUGCUUAACACAUGCAAGUCGAACGGAAAGGCCCUGCUUUUGUGGUGUUCCCGAUUGGCGAACGGGUGCGUAACACGUGUGUAUCCUGCCCUUCAUUUUCGGAUAACUUCAGGAAACUGGGGCUACUACCGGAUAGCAGCCCCUGCUGCAUGGUGGGCGUUGGAAAGUCGCGGCGGGUGGGGAUGGACUCGCGGCUUAUCAGUUUGUUGGUGGGGUAGUGGCUUACCAAGGCUUUGACGGGUAGCCGGCCUGAGAGGGUGACCGGCCACAUGGGGACUGAGAUACGGCCCAGACGCCUACGGGAGGCAGCAGUGGGGAAUAUUGCACAAUGGGCGGAAGCCGGAUGCAGCAACGCCGCGUGCGGGAUGACGGCCUUCGGGUUGUAAACCGCUUUCGCCUGUGACGAAGCGUGAGUGACGGUAAUGGGUAAAGAAGCACCGGCUAACUACGU
rnacentral:rRNA from 1 species